rnacentral:misc_RNA from 1 species
UACGGAGGGAGCUAGCGUUGUUCGGAAUUAUUGGGCGUAAAGCGCGCGCAGGCGGCUGAUUAAGCCAGGUGUGAAAGGCUGCGGCUCAACCGCAGAGCGGAACCUGAAACUGGUCAGCUUGAGUGCAGGAGAGGGGAGCGGAAUUCCCGGUGUAGCGGUGGAAUGCGUAGAGAUCGGGAGGAACACCAGUGGCGAAGGCGGCUCUCUGGCCUGUAACUGACGCUGAGGCGCGAAAGCGUGGGGAGCAAACAGG